rnacentral:rRNA from 1 species
UACGAAGGGGGCUAGCGUUGCUCGGAAUCACUGGGCGUAAAGGGUACGUAGGCGGUGGAGUAAGUCAGUGGUGAAAGCCAACAGCUCAACUGUUGAACUGCCAUUGAUACUGCUUCACUUGAGCGCAGUUGAGGUGGGUGGAAUUCCAUGUGUAACGGUGAAAUGCUUAGAUAUAUGGAGGAACACCGAUAACGAAGGUAACUCACUAAACUGUAACUGACGCUGAAGGUACGAAAAGCGUGGGGAGCAAACGGG